GGGGAUUUAGUUCAGUGGCAUAGCGCCUGCCUGGCAAGUACAUGGUCCUGGGUUCGAUCUCCAGUACCCCCC
rnacentral:tRNA from 1 species